GACGAACGCUGGCGGCGUGCUUAACACAUGCAAGUCGAACGAAGAGCGAUGGAAGCUUGCUUCUAUCAAUCUUAGUGGCGCACGGGUGAGUAACGCGUAAUCAACCUGCCCUUCAGAGGGGGACAACAGUUGGAAACGACUGCUAAUACCGCAUACGAUCUAACCUCGGCAUCGAGGAUAGAUGAAAGGUGGCCUCUACAUGUAAGCUAUCACUGAAGGAGGGGAUUGCGUCUGAUUAGCUAGUUGGAGGGGUAACGGCCCACCAAGGCGAUGAUCAGUAGCCGGUCUGAGAGGAUGAACGGCCACAUUGGGACUGAGACACGGCCCAGACUCCUACGGGAGGCAGCAGUGGGGAAUCUUCCGCAAUGGACGAAAGUCUGACGGAGCAACGCCGCGUGAGUGAUGACGGCCUUCGGGUUGUAAAGCUCUGUUAAUCGGGACGAAAGGCCUUCUUGCGAAUAGUGAGAAGGAUUGACGGUACCGGAAUAGAAAGCCACGGCUAACUACGUG
rnacentral:rRNA from 1 species